GGAUGAGCCCGCGGCCUAUCAGCUUGUUGGUGGGGUAAUGGCCUACCAAGGCGGCGACGGGUAGCCGGCCUGAGAGGGUGUACGGCCACAUUGGGACUGAGAUACGGCCCAGACUCCUACGGGAGGCAGCAGUGGGGAAUAUUGCACAAUGGGCGCAAGCCUGAUGCAGCGACGCCGCGUGGGGGAUGAAGGCCUUCGGGUUGUAAACUCCUUUCGCUAGGGACGAAGCUUUGUUGUGACGGUACCUAGAUAAGAAGCACCGGCUAACUACGUGCCAGCAGCCGCGGUAAUACGUAGGGUGCGAGCGUUGUCCGGAAUUACUGGGCGUAAAGGGCUCGUAGGUGG
rnacentral:rRNA from 1 species